rnacentral:rRNA from 1 species
CUUAACACAUGCAAGUCGAACGGUUGUAGCAAUACAGCAGUGGCGCACGGGUGAGUAACGCGUGGAUAUCUGCCUUUUGGUUCGGAAUAACUCCGGGAAACUGGAGCUAAUACCGGAUGGUUCCUACGGGAUAAAGAUUUAUCGCCAAAAGAUGAGUCCGCGUACGAUUAGCUAGUUGGUGAGGUAAUGGCUCACCAAAGGCGACGAUCGUUAGCUGGUCUGAGAGGACGAUCAGCCACACUGGGACUGAGACACGGCCCAGACUCCUACGGGAGGCAGCAGUGGGGAAUAUUGGACAAUGGGGGCAACCCUGAUCCAGCCAUGCCGCGUGAGUGAUGAAGGCCUUCGGGUUGUAAAGCUCUUUUGGCGGGGACGAUGAUGACGGUACCCGCAGAAUAAGCCCCGGCUAACUUCGUG